UACGAAGGGGGCGAGCGUUGUUCGGAUUUACUGGGCGUAAAGGGCGCGCAGGCGGCAGACCAAGUCAGGCGUGAAAGCCCCGGGCUUAACCUGGGAGGUGCGUCUGGGACUGGUAUGCUAGAGUUCGGGAGAGGAGAGUGGAAUUCCCAGUGUAGAGGUGAAAUUCGUAGAUAUUGGGAAGAACACCGGUGGCGAAGGCGGCUCUCUGGACCGAGACUGACGCUGAGGCGCGAAAGCGUGGGGAGCAAACAGGAUUAGAUACCCUGGUAGUCCACGCUGUAAACGAUGUGUGCUAGACGUUGGGGAGCCUAGCUCUUCGGUGUCGCAGCUAACGCGGUAAGCACACCGCCUGGGGAGUACGGCCGCAAGGUUAAA
rnacentral:rRNA from 1 species